GAUGAACGCUAGCGAUAGGCUUAACACAUGCCAGUCGAGGGGCAGCAUGGUCUUAGCUUGCUAAGACUGAUGGCGACCGGCGCACGGGUGCGUAACGCGUAUGCAACUUGCCUCACAGAGGGGGAUAACCCGUCGAAAGACGGACUAAUACCGCGUACACUCCAUCUUGGGCAUCCAAGGUAGAGGAAAUGAAAUUCGCUGUGAGAUAGGCAUGCGUCCCAUUAGCUAGUUGGUGAGGUAACGGCUCACCAAGGCGACGAUGGGUAGGGGAACUGAGAGGUUGAACCACCACACUGGUACUGAGACACGGACCAGACGCCUACGGGAGGCAGGAGUGAGGAAUAUUGGGCAAUGGGCGAGAGCCUGAACCAGCCAAGUCGCGUGAAGGAGGACUGGCUUAUGGAUGGUAAACUUCUGUUAGACGGGAAUAACAAGAGUCACGUGUGACUCCCUGCAUGUACCGUAUGAAUAAGCAUCGGCUAACUCCGUG
rnacentral:rRNA from 1 species